rnacentral:lncRNA from 1 species
GUAUUUGUCAGGUCCAGAGCUCCAACUCUGACUGCUGCUUUCACCCAGGAGUGCCUGCCUGUUUUUUCUUUCAGCCAGUGCUUGCAUGGAGGAGUUUGACAUCUGAUCCUUCAUUUCCCUGACCACCUGCCGUGUGCUCGUGAUGAAGGAUUUUCUGAUACCCAGCUCCGUGGCAUCCAGGUUGAACUUCCGAGGGUUCGCCUCAACAAUGCUAAUUGUUUCAUCCAAGUCUUCC